rnacentral:lncRNA from 1 species
CUUAAAAUGAGAAUCGGUCUAGAGGAAGAUGCUGAAUGUCACUGACUAUGUCAUGGGGGAUUUCUGGCUGUUGGUUCAAUGAGGAUGACAAGGUCAUCCCAUCCACCCUUUGCUCUAAACCAGAGGGCGCACACAGAGCACCCCGACUCGGCCUCUGCUGGAGCACUUCCAAAGAAGAAAGAACCACUUCCUCACAAGAAGCAGAGUCCUUCCUCUUGCAUCUACCACCCACCAGUCUGGUUUGAUGGAAGCUCUCACCUCCAACUAAAUUUUACAGAAUUAUCACAUGCCUGAAAUGAAUGAAACUCAAGCAUGGUCUUUACAACUUCCCCAGUUCAGAAAUAAGAGUAGUGAAGUGACUAGUCAAUGGCAAACUUGCAUACUGAAAUGCCUGUCUAGAAACCUCCCCAAUGCCCUUUCUAUAGGAGCAUGUGGUUUCUUAGUCCCCGAUUGAUGACCCUACGCACUAGCUAGCCACUGCUGCACGCUCCUUGCGUGUGUGUGUGUGUGUGUGUGUGGUGUGUUUCUCCCACUGUUUUCAUUAACAUCUCUUAGGUUUGAAAAGACAUUAAACAAAGUUUUAGGGGG